rnacentral:lncRNA from 1 species
UAUAUCUAAGUCUUUGAUCCAUCUCGAGUUGAUUUUUGAUUAAGGAAGAGAUGAGGAUCCAGUUUCAUUCUUCUACAUGUGGCUUGCCAAUUAUGCCAGCACCAUUUGUGAAUAGGGUGGCCUUUCCCCAUUUUAUGUUUUCAUUGCUUUGUUGAAGAUCAGUUGGUUGUAAGUAUUUGGCUUAUUUCUGGGUUCUCCAUUCUGUUCCAUUGGUCUAUGCGCCUAUUUUUAUCCCAGUACCAUGCUGUUUUUGUGACUAUGGCCUUGUAGUAUAGUUUGAAGUCACCUAAUGUGAUGCCUCCAGAUUUGUUCUUUUUGUUUAGUCUUGCUUUAGCUAAUGGGCUCUGUUUUGGUUCCAUAUGAAUUUUAGGAUUUUUUUAUUUUUUUUCUGGUUCUGUGAAGAAUAAUGGUGGUAUUAAGAUGGGAAUUGCACUGAAUUUUUACAUGGCCUUUGGCAGUAUGGUCAUUUUCACAACACUGAUUCUACCCAUCCACGAGCAUGGGAUGUAUUUCCAUUUGUUUGUGUUGUCUAUGAUUUCUUUCAGCAGUGUUUUGUAGCUUUCCUUGUAGAAGUGUUUCAUGUUCUUAGGUACAUUUCUAAGUUUUUUUUUUUUUUUUGCAGCUAUUGUGAAAGGGGUUGAGUUCUUCAUUUGAUUUUCAGCUUCUCACUGUUGAUGUAUACCAGAGCUACAGAUUUGUGUACAUUAAUUUUGUAUGCUGAAAUUUUGCUGAAUUAUUUUAUCAGUUCUAGCAGCUCUUUGGGUGAGUCUUUAGGGUUUUCUAGGUAUACGAUCAUAUCUUCAGCAAACAGUGACAGUUUGACUUCCUAUUUAUCUAUUUUGAUGGCCUUUAUUUCUUUCUCUUGUUUGAUUGUUCUGGCUAAGACUUCCAGUACUAUGUUCAACAGAAGUGGU